GGUGACAAUUCAGAUUUUGACCACUUACCUUGUAGUCAAGAUUAUCAACACUUUACAACACUGGUUGCAAUUUGUUAUUAAACCUUACAUAAAAGACCUGAAUUGAAAACAUUUUGCUGAUAUAAAUAUAAUUAAUAAUGCAAUAGUGCAAAAACUUUUGACACUUGGCAGGUUAUGAAUGAUGACAUCUGUUUCGACUCUCGACGCUCGAUGGCCGACGAGUCAUGCCGAACCGAAUGAUUCCGAGAGUUGACGAACGACACUCGGCUUUUGCUUAGCUCCUAUUGGCUAAGGGUUGACGACGGGAAAAUCAUACGAAAAAUACUGUUUCUGACAGAUUCAUGACAUGAUAUUACGAUAUGUCAGUUGUACGUGGACCGAUUUUAUUGAUUUUGGUUUUAUUCGAAAGCUUAUAUGCGAUUUACAUCAGAAAAAUAUAUUGUUAAUGUAAUAGAAUAUAUUGCAGGCGUGAUGAGAUAUUAAUGAAAGAAGUUUCAAGUUAGGUUGGAAUGGACCAUCUCUCCUGUAAAAAAUACGUGGUAGCUCCAACGCCAGGUGUAUACGCGGUGACGGGUAAUUUUUCAUGUACUUGGCGCCGAGACGCUACCGCGUCACUAGAUUAUUUGUAUUCAAUUAAUCUUUACGAAAUACAAGCGAAUUAUCUGUAUUCGAUUACUCUUUACGAAAUCAGAAGUGGGACACGAACAGUUUUACGAUGAGUGCGCAAGAAGAAAUCCCUAAAGCGAGUGAUGUUGUUUUCGAUGCUGAAAAACUGGUAGACCCAAAUAUUUUGAUUACACAAUUAUCCAGCUUAUUGCAUCGUAAUAAUGAAGCAUCUAUUUCUACUGCCAAAUCAGCAGUAGCAAGCAGAAAUUUGUUCGAAAAUCGCUUAGAAAGGUUACCGAAGCCAUUUGAUCCGAAAACAGGAAGUAUAUCUUUAAAUAUUUGGUGUAAAUAUGUAGAUAGAUGGUUGAAAAUUAAUUCUGUUGAGAAGGAGGAGCUUCUUUACAUUUACGACAGACUUUUUGUGGGAAAGGCUGCUUAAUGGUAUAUCGAAAGAACAAAUCAUUUAACAUCUGCGAAUGACGUAGAACAAUGGUCAACUUUGAGGGCUGCUUUAAUUGAUAAAUUUGGUAUUGAUACAAUCACUCUAUUGUAUCUAUGUGUCAAAAAUUAGCAAAUUGCACUUCAAACAUUGAUACUUACAAAGCAUUGGAGCCCUUUAUGAACGAAGUAUCACAACAGCCGCAUAAAGAUAUUGGCCAGAUAAUUUGUCUAUUGGCACUGCAAUUAUGGAGACCAUCAUUGCAGGCACCUCUGAUAUCUGUUGAAGGGACAUCUGAAAGGAAACUUCCAACAAAAGAUCAGCUAACAAGUAAGCUAAUACUACUAGAUGCUCGACACGUGACACAAACCAAGAUCCAAAAACGAAAAGUUGCUGAGGAUAAUAUUUACGAGGCAAAAAGAUUUCGUGGAUACUGUAAUAAUUGUGGAAAAUUGGUACAUCGCCAAGAGGAGUGCAGAUGGAAAAAUAUAAUUUCAUCAAAAUAUAGAUUAGCUUCCAUGCUAAGGACCAGGUUCAACUAAGUGGGAACAAAGGAGAAAAUCAUAGCAGGAAUAUCGUUAAAUGCUGCAAUUGUAACGAAAAUGGACAUAUUUCAACUGAAUGUCCCAAGAAAAUUGCCAAAGCUACAAAAUCAGUCAGCCUUUGCAACAAAAUUGCUAUGAACCACGUCGCCUUUGAAUCUGGCCAUGAAUCAACUAAAUAAACAAAUUACUGUAACGCCGAGGACGGCUUUCAGUCAGGAUUGGCCGUGUCGGCAAUCGAUAUUGGAUUGAAACGUCUCGAUACUCUCGAUAGAUCGUUGUAAGGAGUCGAGUUGGUUACAUCGAGAAACAAAGGAAGAAGCGAAGUGAACAGAGGCGAGAAGAAAACAAGAGAUAUAAGAAAACGUAAAAUCGAGAAGGUUUCGAUCGAUUCCAAAGGCUGGAACAAUAGAUAUUAGCGUUUAUAUGAAACCGACGCCCAACGGUAUUCCAGCGAUCUGAAACCAUUGGAAAACGUUUGAUAACGUACUGAACACGUAGAAUUGCACUAAAUCGCAUCGUUUAACACAGUUUCAAUCGAUUCCAUAGGCUGGAACACUCGAUAUUCGCGAAUGAGAUUAUCAUUUUUUUAACUUAGCAUAUCACUUCCGCAUAAAAGCAGCACAUAUUUUCUUUGCUGUUUCCUCGGUGUGAUGAAUGGUGUGUUACAAUGUACUUUGUUUCUUUCCAUAUUCAAGGUAAUAUAAAAUUGACUAGAAUUAAUGUAUCCUAACCAAUCUUUUUCCUAAUGAUGCUUGUAUAAUUCUCUUUGGUAAAUGUUUACAUUAGAUAAGGCAUCUCCGAUGACCUUGACAUAUGUUGUCAAGGGUACCCUCCUGAGUAACAUCCAAGAAGUUUUAGUCGUCGCUCGCUUUUUAUUAAAAAGUUGUUAAUAAAAAUGUAUUACAAGUAUUAUACUAGAAUCUGCGCAUACAUACGCUCUAAUGAACUUGACCUUGACAUAUGUUGUUAAGGCAUCAUUUUCAUCAACUUUUUCCUGUAUAGGACAUUUACUAAAUGUCCUUAUUCUACAAUUACACUUUAAUGAAUUACUCAAAUAAGUUACUAAGGUCUUCACGAUUUUCUGUUUUGUAUCACAUUAUCCGCAAAAUGGAAUUUAAGAAACAUCAAUUAUAAAUAAUAGUAGAUAAAAGAGUUUUGCAAGUCGCUUUCUUUAAAUAAGUUUUAUAAUUUGAUCAGUUAAAAAUUCUCGCCACGUGUUUCAUUAUGUGUGACAUAUUCAGAAUAUUCAGUUGGUUUCUUUGAUUCAUUUAAUUUGUAUACAGUUGAAUAUACGCGUGUAAUUAUAUAACUAAAUAAAUAAUAUCACUACAAAUGUAGCGUGGUCUGUGGCGGACGGUUUCCAACUUAAUGGGUGAUUGCGAACAUGUUAGGAGAGAAUGGUAGUGACAGAAAUGAAUAGAACUGAUGCAAUUAAAUUCCAUCUGGUAUGGUGUUCUACUUGAAACUCGACAAAAGCCAUGAUAUUAUUUCGAUAUAUUAUGUCUGAUCAUCUGAUAGCAUAGUUGUAACGAUGUUUUCUGUAGUGAUGAGUGACGAGGCAAGUGAAAUGUGUUUUGACCAAGGGGAAAGUUGUGACAUUCUAAUAUUUUAAUGUUCGAAUGUUUUAUAAGUAAUGUUUUAUAAAUAAACGAUUUUCCAAAAGA